rnacentral:rRNA from 1 species
AUGGCGAGGAGAUCUAGCAGGAAGAGAAAUGUGCAGACUGUUCUCACCGACCUCCCUGACGCACUCAUCGUCGAGAUCCUGUCACGGCUGCCACUUAAGUCGCUUUGCUGCUGCAAGUGUGUCGACACGCACUGGUACGACCUCAUCUCCCACCCUGAACACAUCAAGAAGCUCCCACAGACCCUCGCCGGCUUCUUCUUUGACACCGAAGACAUUGGACGCUGUCCCAAAGUAGCUCGGCACUUUGCCAAUAUCGGUGAACCACCUCAGAUUGAUCCCAGUUCCCCCUUCUUGCCGCCUGAGUUUGAGCUUGUCAGGCUGGAAGACUGUUGUGAUGGCCUUCUCCUGUGCUGCUCUUCUCAGCAUCCGUUCCGCCGUUUAGUUUGCAAUCCUGCUACAGAGAGAUGGGUCGUGUUACCCGCAUUGCCAGCUGACUCCAGUUGUGUAGCUCAGGAAGACACCUUUCAUUUGGUUUUCGACCGUGAUGUUUCCUCCCAUUUCCAUGUGUUUCAGAUUGUGUUGAAAGAUUGGCGGUGGGUGGCGGGCAUAAAUAUAUACUCCUCGGGAACUGGGUCAUGGAACUUCAUGGAAAGUGGGUGGGAAUCUGAUACCAGUAUUUGCCACAACAGACAUUUGUUUCAUCAAGGCAUGCUCCAUUUUGUUAGUUUUCAGUCUACAGUAGUGUCGGUAGACUUGGAGGGGAAGAAAUGGAGGGUAAUUCCAGUGCCAGAAGGAGUGCAAAGGUACAGUCUAUGGCUAUGA